GACGUAGGGCGCAAGCGUUGUCCGGAUUUAUUGGGCGUAAAGAGCUCGUAGGCGGCUUGUCGCGUCGAAUGUGAAAACUCGGGGCUCAACCCCGCGCUUGCAUUCGAUACGGGCAGGCUCGAGUUCGGUAGGGGAGACUGGAAUUCCUGGUGUAGCGGUGAAAUGCGCAGAUAUCAGGAGGAACACCGGUGGCGAAAGGGCGGGGUCUCCGUGGGGCCGAUGACUGACGCUGGAGGAGCGAAAGCGUGGGGAGCGAACAGGA
rnacentral:rRNA from 1 species